UAACUCAGUAAGAUCACAGGCC
rnacentral:miRNA from 1 species